UUUGAUUCAACUCCAACUCUAGUGGUAACAAAGCUGAUGCCUUUUUCUCAAGCUCCUUCAAGUGGUGCUAACUUGCUUGACAUGCUUUCUGAGUUAUCAGUUCCUGCAUCUAUUAACAACCCACAAAUGUCACUUUUUGGCACAAAUCCUCAUCCUCCUCCUCCUCCUCCUCCUCCUGCUGGUGGUGCACCACCAUCGGUGUUUGUCCCUGGUGGUGGUAAUAAUGGCGUAUGUUGUGGGAUUUUAAUGUUUUUUUUGUAUGAAUUUAAAAUUUCUAAUGACUUGUGUUGUUUGUGUGUGCAUGAUUUAUUUACUUCAAGUUAUUCUUUUUCAUUUUUGUGCUCCAGGGUGGUACCUGUGUUAUGAGUUAUCACACAACCUUCCACAACACAACUCAUUACUUUUUAUAUCAACUUUGUUACAAUUUUUGUGACCUGAAUCAAUUUUUGUGACCUGAAUCAGGCAAAUAUAUCUAGUUUUACCAAAAAUAUAUCUAGCUCUUACCCUUUAAAUUUGAACCGCAGGUGUGGUUAAUUUGUAUGAUGAUGAUGGUCCGGUGGUGGGAUUUUCAGGUUGGUUGAAUUAUUGGGGGUGCGAGGCGAGGCUAGCUGGCCGGUGAUGAUGGUGUUGCGACAGGGGAGAUGGAGAUGAAGGACCGAUUAGUGGUGUAGAGAUGGAGAAAGGGUGGUGUUAAGGUGUUCGGUUGGGAGGAGAAGCGUAUUCAAUUUAGGUAUUAGCCGUACUUAAUCAAAAUGGGGGCGUAUUUUAUUUAGUUAUUUCAUUUUGUUUCUAGUACAUCUCCUUAACCGUAUUAGAUGCUGAAAUUGUGCGUAUUAUAUUUAUUUAUCCCUUUAUAAUACGGUUUUUAUUUACAACCGUAUUAGAUGGGGGUGUACUCUAUAGCUAAUUUUCCAGUAGUGUACCUAUAGAAACAAAAGACAUAUAAAAAUAUGAGGCUGAAUUGUCAUUAAUGUGUUUUUGGGUCCAUUGCCUGCCUAGCAUGAUUAUAGAUACUCGUAUUUAUGAAUUAUAUUCGUAUAAUAAAUACAGUUGAGAAAUUGAAUUUAAUGAGAUCAUAAAUAUGACAUGUACAUCCAUAUACUUUAAGUCUUCAAUCAUGUAGCAGUUGUAAUUUUUUGUCGAUCAAUAUACCAAAAUAAAGAAAUAUCAAACCUUUUAGAAAAAAAUUGAGGCAUGAAUUAUGCAAAUAUAUCUUGUUGACUUUGUCGUCACUCGUCAUAUACUGUUUUGAAACAAAGUACAUUAAUAUAGACUGCACAAGACAUAACAAAAAACUACAUACAUAUUCAUCAACCUCAUGUCAAAUUUUCGU
rnacentral:lncRNA from 1 species